CCCAAACAUAUACAACCCAUAGUUUUACUGAACAUAUAGCCUAAACCACAGCAGCCUAUGAUUAUGUCAAUUGACACUGUGCAAAAAUCAAACAUAAAGAAUAGUGGUACAAAA